GAAGCUGUUAUUGUUGUACAAUGUCAUUUAUUUCCACGUAGGGGAUGUGGCCAAUCUUGGGCCAAUCUUUUUGUUUGUCCUUGAGACACCUCUUUUCUAGAAUAGGACACUCCCAGAUUUCAAGUAUUGCAAGUGUUGCCCGCCCUUGGGCACAAAGGACCAGAGCUUAGGGCAAUUGUAGAGUUCAAGGCUUUUAAGAGAGAUGAGGCUUUGGAGACUUAUGGAGGCUAUGGAUUUCAAGUUGUAGAGAUUUACCAACCGGAGACAUGUGAUAGAUGUAGGAAGAAGAAGGUGAGAGCUGGGAAGUAAAAAGCAGAUCUGGGAAUGGGCCUUGAAUCAUGAGCUUAUCAAGAGAGGUGAGUGUGUGGAGGCCCCACCCAGAUAGAGGCCACCUCAUAUUCUCACAAUCUGAAAUACAAAGUUCUUCAAGGUUAGGGUUCAAAAAUGCUUCUGGAGAGGACAACACAUCUCGACAAUUACAUAUUUGCAAAACUUGAAGAGAUGUGAGAUUUUGCUGCAUAUUCCCUGGAAUCGACUCCAAUUGCUGGCAGUCCCAAAUGGAAAGGGUCUCAAGUGUCGAGGGAAAGUAACCUCUUGGAAUGGACUUGAGAGAUGGACAUCCCCAUACAUGUAGAUAUUCAAGAUGACAAGUGUUGUUGUUGUCAAUUCCCUCAGGUAGAGACUCUAGCUUCUCACAAUUUAUAAUUAUCAGCUUCUUAAGGGUGGCGGGUAGCUCACCUUUCGGAAAGCCAAUAAGAGAUGGACAAUCUUUAAUUUUCAGGUACUCAAGGGCACAACUAUUUCCAUAUAUUGGGAGUACCUGGUUGAACUUGUUGUAGUUUUAAAAUGUCAUCUAUUUCCAUAUAGGGGAUGUGAGCAAUCUUAGGCUAAUAUUUUCCUUUGUCAUUGAGGCACCUCUCUUUUAGAAUAUGACAUCUCCCCAUUACAACUCUUGCAAGUGUUGGUGGUGGGUCAAUGUGGGUAGCUCACCUUCUAGAAAGCCAAUAAGAGACAUCUUUGAACCCCUAUUAAGACCACCUGCCCAUACCAAAUAAAAAGGGGGAAAAUGAGUAGAAAAAACUCAUAUCAUAUCAAAAACAGAACAAAUUAAAUAAUAAUAAUAAUAAUAAUAAUAAUAAUAAAAUCAUACUUUUUUGUGUCUUAAGGAUGUGAUUCACCAUAAAAUAUCAUGGAAACAUUGAUGAAACUUUAUAUAAUGCAUUACUCCAAAAUCAACGAAGAAUAGUGCAAAAGGUGAUUGAAUUUCUUUCACUUCACAAGAAUGGAACCUUUUAAGCCGUGCUACACACUAUAUAAUGGGGAAAUUAGUUUAUAAUUAUUAUAAAAAAAUAAAAAAUAAAAAUUUCAAAGUUAGCAAAGGCGUAGAAGCAAAAUUUGUCAUAUAAGGAGGGAAACAUGAUCUCUGCUCAUUCCCCUAUUAAGAGAAAAUAUGAAUCUUUCAAUGGAUGAAUAUGUCCUUUCUCUAUUCUUCUUGCAAUAAGGGUUGAAGCUUAGGACUCAUUCAGCCUUACACCAUCGCAAUUCUUUUAUGUGGAAAAGGACUGCAAUAGGAUAUUCUCCAUUGACCAAAUGUGAAGCAAAAAAGAAGAUAAGAAACAGAAGACAAAGUACAAUUAGGAGACAAGAAUUUACCAACUCAUUUACAAAAAUACUUAGAAACUCCCCUAUUAUACCAGCUCUCUGUAACUUCAUCAAUGCAUUUGUGAAAUGCUAAUCUGGAAAUAAAUUAUAUAACAUAAGGAGUGGAAAAUUAUAAAAUCAGACACCAACACAUAAAUAUGUGUUUGUGUAUACCAUCUUAAUGGAAAGAAAAACUAUUUACUUGUGGCCCCCUAUGCUUGCCAAGAUUUAGCUUAUUUAAUAUAGUCAGAAUCUGGUGUAUGAACCUCAUCCACAUCUUCAACACCUGAAGAAUAACCCUAAUGCAACAAUAAGUACAGAUUGCAUAAGUACGGAAUGCAAAGAGAAGUGAAAAUCAAGGGUAUAUGGAUUCUUUAUAGAUUAAUAUUCAAGGAAUAAAUUCUGAUUAUAUAUGUAUAUAUAUAAAUUGAAGCACUAAAUGAAAAGCACUAAUAACAUAACUAUUUGUCAUGUAUAUCGACAAAGAACAUGCAGGUGCAGCCAAACACAUGACAAAGAAUGGAAAAGAAGUAGGAAGAAUCUGAAAAAGCUUUAGAGUCAAAGCAAUGCUGGAGAUGCUACAUGGGCAGGCCUAAUUGAUUCUACCUCCACUAAAAUUCUUCUCGUUGUUAUCAAGUCCAAAAGAAUACACGUCCUGCUAUUCAAUAACUUUUGCCUUGCAUACUCCUUAAAUUCUAUAGAUUAAGAGGAUCCAAGGGUUGUCAUUUCAGUUUCUUUAACUCUUCCCUCUUUUCAAACUCCUCAUAGCAUGGAAAGGAUCCACUCUUCCCUCUCAAGGUUAGGCAAUUUCCUUCCCUUACAGAAAUUAUUUCACCCCUUAUCAAAUCCGUCUUCAGUAAAUUCAUCAGAUUAUUUUUUUAAUUUUACAAUCUUAACAUUCCUACCAUCACAAAUAUUCUUUACAAUUCACCAAUUUCUUGACAUGAUUCUCAGAGGCAUUUCUAGAGGGUCAUGAGGUUCAAUAUAAAGAGAAAAAAAUAAAAAAUAAAAGAAAAGGUGGGAAGUGGAGGGCAUGAGGUUCAAUCUCAUUUCCCUAUGUUGAUUGAACCAAUAAUUGCCCUCUAUUCAACCCUAAACUGAUUAUGAAAGAGGGCCUUUUAUCCCUAUUAGAUUGGGCAGAUUAAUGCUACAUGAAGUGAGCCUCCAAAUACAAAUGAGACUCCAAAUACAAACUGAUUAUGGAAGAGGGCCUAAGUAAUUAUUUUACAAAGACUAACUAGAGAUAUUAGUGGACUCUCUUCUUCAUCAGUUUGUAACAUGAAUCAUCAGGGUCAAGUCUUUUACUAAUCCACAACCUUCACCUUCUGGUAUCACAUGGGCAGAGCAUGCCCAUUGUAGCAAACAGUAUGAUAAAAAAAAAAAAAUUAUGUAGCACUAAGUCAAAAGAAUUCUGGUGCAGAAGCCUAAGCAACCAUAUAGAAAUAUGCAAAUGUAAAAGCUAGAAAGACAGUAAUAAAAUAUCACCUUACCUGGCUAGGUUACAAUCAUCAUGUGCCCCAAUUAGGGGAUUUUACCUUCAACAACUUACUUACAAAGACCUUAAUUUGAAAGAGCACAUUUUAAAUCAAUACAAGUGAGAAGAGAGAGAAUAAGAAAGAGAACAACCUGGAUAUAUGCCCUUUCUCUGCAUCCUGAACUGCUUGACAUACCAGUUGCCAGUAGUAAGGGUCUAGGCCAACAGCAUUUACAAUGUCAUGUAAUUAGUAAAAAAAAAUUAAGUGGAAAAGCAGAAAAAAGGGGAAAAAAAUCUCAUCAACAAAGAAGUUAUACCUCUCCCCCGUUUUGCAAUACAUAUUUCCAAGCUGAUGGCAGAAUCCCAGAAAACCUUGGUGUUUAGUAAGGGAGAAUUCCUGUGUGAAUAAAGUACAAAACAAAAUCAGAUAGAAGGGCUUUAUUAAGAUACUAAGAUGCAAAUUUAGAUUGGAAUGAAAUAGAACUAAAACAAAAUCAGAAAUACCUUCUAUUAAUUAAUGGUAAUUGAAAUAGAAUACUGGCUUUAAGCAAAAUGAAGCACCAGAUAUAAGGCCUCUUGUUGUGGGUUAGGUUCUGCAAGUUUGCCAAGCUGCCCAUCCCUUGGUAGGAAGUGAAGUUGGUGCCACAUUUGAUAGGGCCUUAAAAUUUCUUUUGGACCUGAUUAGCAAAAAAUUGUACAGAUGAAACUGGAAUCACAUGUAAACCCCAAGAUUAAAAAUGAAUGGUGCAUUUAUUACAGCUCCUUUCAUGUGUAGGGCAUUUCCCCUUGCAGAUAUGAAUAAGGUGCAUCAAUGGCAGGAAAUUUCCCUUUUAUCUACAUCAAUCCCUUUUCCUGCCAUCCUAUAUGUACAAGACAUCAUUAUUGGAAAUUGAAAGCAGUAUUUUGAGUUGAAAGUGCCAAAUAUCCAGUUAUUAAACUAUGGUAGGAAGGCCUUGCUUAAGAAAAUAAGGAACAAGCUAAGAACACAAUCAAGAGAGGUGAGUUUUUGAGCACAAAACUGUUUAGCUUAUUGUAGGAAAUGAAGUUGGUGCCAAAUUUGAUAGGGGCCUUCAAACUACUUUUGGACCUGAUUAGCAAAAAAAAUUGACAGUGGAGACUGGAAUUGCAUGUGUAAACCCUGAAAUGAAAAAAGAAUGGUGCAUUUAGUACAACUCUUUCAUGUUUAGGAUAUUUCCCCUUGCAAAUAAGCUGCACCAAUGGGCAGAAAUUUUGCUUUCAUCUACAUCAAUGUGCAACACAAAUUCCAUCAUUAUCAGAAAAUGUAAGCGAUAUUUUUAGUUGAAAAUGGUGAAAAUUGUGUUCUAUCAAAACUUACAAUUCAAUGCAUUAAUAAGUACCUCUGUUUUGGAAGAGGGUAGGGACCUUCCUUUGGAAAAAUAAGGAAAAAGCUAAGGGCACAUUCAUGAGAGUCGAGGUUUUGAGCACAAAACUCCACAACUUAUUGUCGACCACGGCAGCCCCUGAUUACGGAACAAAAGGGAGACUCAAAUAUUACAGAGAAAGCAGCAAUAAGUAAGUAGAACCUUUGAUGGAAGAUUACAAAGAUUUGGGAGUACCUGAUUGAAGCUGUUAUUGUUGUACAAUCUUAUCUAUUUCCACAUAGGGGAUGUGAGCAAUCUUGGGCCAAUCAUUUCCUUUGCCCUUGAGGCACCUCUUUUUUAGAAAUGGACACUUCCAGAUUACAAGUCUUGCAAGUGUUGGUGGUAGCCCUUCCUUUGGUACAAAAGACCGGAGCUUAGGGCAACGGUGGAAUUCAAGCCUUUUAAGAGACAUAAGGCUUCGGAGACCCAUGGAGGUUACGGAUUUCAAGUUGGGGAGAUUUAUCAACCCGAGAUGGGUGAGAGAUGUAGGAAGAAGUAGGUGAGAGCCGGAAAAAGAAAGCAGAUCUGGGAAUGGGCCACGAAUCACGAGCUCAUCAAGUGAGGUGAGUGUGCGGAGGCCCCACCCAGAUAGAGGCCACCUCAUAUUCUCACAAUCUGAAAUAUAAAGUUGUUUAAGGUUGGGGUUCAAAAACGCUUCUGGAGAGGACACCACAUCUGGACAAUUACAUAUGUUUAGAAGUCGAAGAGAUGUGAGAUUUUGCAGCAGAUUCCCUGGAAUCGACUCCAAUUGCUCGCAGUCCCAAAUGGAAAGAAUCUCAAGUGUGGAGGGAAAGUAGCCUCUCGGAAUGGACUUGAGAGAUGGACAUCGGCAUACAUGUAGCUUUUCAAGACGACAAGUGUUGUUGUUGUCAAUUCCCUCAGGUAGAGACUCUAGUUUCUCACAAUUUUCAAUUAGCAGGUUCUUAAGGGUGACAGGUAGCUCCCCUUUCGGAAAGCCAAUAAGAGAUGGACAAUCUCUAAUUUCCACCUGCUCAAGGGCACAACUGUUAAUCAUCAUUCCAUCAGGUAGUGUCUCUAGACCCUCACAAUUUCUCACUCUAAGAUCUCUUAGCAUGGGCGGCAAA
rnacentral:lncRNA from 1 species